GGAGAGAUGGCAGAGUGGCCUAUCGCGGCGGCCUUGAAAUCCGCUGAGGCGCAAGCCUCCGGGGGUUCGAAUCCCUCUCUCUCCGCCA
rnacentral:tRNA from 1 species